UUUAGCUGUCAAACUCGCAAGACGUGUGGAUUCCGUGAGAGUGUGUCGUUACAACAGUGUGUUUAAUUAAAAGCGGCUGCAAAUUAAAGUGCAGAAAGAAAAUCAGUAGAAAAAAACUAACAACUACUAAUAGAAAAUAACAAAUAUUAAUUUAAUUAUAAAUAAUUAAAUUUAGAAAAAGUUUAAUAAUUGAAAGAAAUCAAUGCCAAGCGAAAUAACAAAAAGCCGCUCACCAAAAUUAGCAUAAAGAAAAUUAAUAAAAAAAUUACACCACAAUAACAACAAACACAACAACUAUAAAAAACCCGGUGUUUUAAAGUUUUUCAUGUUACAACAACAAAAUAAAAGAAAAAUAAUAAAAAUAAACGCAAAGCAAACAACACAAAAAUUAGUGUAGACGUGAGAGAAGUCUACUCAAGCAAAUUACAACAACAAUAACAUCAGCAACUACAAAAAUUUACCGAAAAUUAUAACAAAAACAAAUACACACAAGAAGUAACCACAAAAUAAAUAAAGAAAUAAAUAAAAUUGUUUUGUGUCGUUUAUAUUUAUUUUUUUGUAUUUUUGCAACCUGUGUUUAAUUAAAUCAAAAGGGUUGCCAUUGAAACAAUGAAAAGAAUUUUAAAAAUAAAUGUUUUGAACCCCUAAUUAAAUUUUAAUCAAACCUUAAUUACCAAAUCAAGUCCUUAAAUAGAAAGACAAAAAUUCCUAUUGGAUUUUUAGUGCUAAAAAUUAAAACCCUUCAAAUCAUUUACAAUUGGAACAAUAAUAAUUU